AAACUUUCAACAACGGAUCUCUUGGCUCUCGCAUCGAUGAAGAACGCAGCGAAAUGCGAUAAGUAGUGUGAAUUGCAGAACUUUGUGAACCAUCGAAUCUUUGAACGCAAAUUGCGCCUUCUUUCGGAAGGCAUAUCUGUUUGAGGGCACCAUU
rnacentral:rRNA from 1 species